rnacentral:rRNA from 1 species
CGCGCAGGCGGCCAUUAAAGUUUGACGUGAAAGCUCCUGGCUUAACUGGGAGAGGUCGUUGGAAACUGAAUGGCUUGAGGCAAUGAGAGGGGUGCGGAAUUCCCGGUGUAGUGGUGGAAUGCGUAGAUAUCGGGAGGAACACCAGUGGCGAAAGCGGCACCCUGGCAUUGGACUGACGCUGAAGUGCGAAAGCGUGGGGAGCGAACG